rnacentral:lncRNA from 1 species
UCUGCUGUCUGGUAAGAUGCUUGUGUUAUUAAAUAAUCUGCUUGACUCUGUGUCCAAGAAGCACCAACUGUCAUGCAAAAUGACACAUCACCAUCAUUCUUAGAGAUGCCUAUUGAUGCAAAUAGUGUUAGUAUUAGUUGGCUAGGACCUACUUCGUUCAAAACAAAACAAAACAAUGUGCUGAGCAAAAUGGAGAGGCGGAGAUGAAUUUGCUAUAUAAAGAUGAGACUUUUAUGAAUACCAGAGUUUGGUGGGUGAGACAUGCUGGCAUGCCUAGCUGGUGGUACCUCUGAUACUUUGAACUUACUAGGUCUGGGAAAAUCAUAGUGUCCUGUUCUGUAUAACUUUGAAUCCUAAACUAGAUGCAGGGACUUAUUCACUCCCUGAAGAAGGGAACAGAAGUGGUUAAACCAAGCAGAAUUGGCUUGUGGGGAGCAAAGUAAGAAAGGCAUUCCUAGAUAAAAGUUGAUAAUACAUGACACUUUUCAUCGUCCAUCACCCAAGCCGUGUCCUUUCUUGACCUGUGUUUCUGAUUUGGAGACAGGACAGACUUGUGGCCCAGGUAGAGUUGCCUCUGGGUUCAGAUGAGAUGAUGAUGAUGAUAAGGAAGGGAAACUUGGGUUGGGCUAUGGAAAGCCUCAAAAACUCUACAGUGGGAAUGGCAAAACUAAAACGAUACUUAAGAAUGUACAUGAGAGACAGAGAGACAGAGAGAGACAGAGAGAGAAAGAGAUGGGGGCGGGGGGUGCUUUUCUGCCUAUAUUUUGCAUAGUGUUCUUAAGUUGACGUUUUUGUGUGCAUUGAUCAAGAACUUGUCUUAUCGUUUUGCAAAACAAGUAGGAAUUUGAGCAACAGAAGAGCAUUUGGUUUCAACAUCAAGCCCAGUGCUGACUCAUUUGUCGCUCACCAGCUGAGCUUUUCAUUGUCAGUAACAUUAAUUAUGUCUCUCCCUCAGUCUCACAUGACCUCCGUUUUCCCCCUUAUAGCAUUCUCUCUGCACAGGCUCACAUCUGGGUGCCUGCAGACUGGUGACAUCAGCUCUGAGCCUUGACUGUAUGACAAUUAGAACUCCCGGAGUUCAACUCAGACACGCAAGCUCAUGUGCUGAUCUUUCUCUAGCUUGACAUGCCUGAACUGAAUUAUGGAGCAUUCUCUCCUACCAGGGUAUAGAAAAGCAGGUUUUCCUGGUCACCAAGCAAUUUUGUUCAGUUCAAAGACUUGCGGCAAGUCUUGCAGAAGAGAGUUAGAAGAAGCACACAUUUAUUAAGGCAUUAUUUGAUGAUCUUGGGGUCCCAAGGCUCAAGUUUGAAUCUUGAACCUACUAAUUAUUUAUCAGACAAUUUUGAACACAUGUCUUCCUUGCUCCAGGUGUAAUAAAGGUGGUAGUAAAUACAGUGCAAUGUGGAACAUGACUUGGAUGAAGUUCAGACCCUGGCAUAAGUUUGCCCCCCACUCCCAGCCCCCAUUCCUAAAGAGACAUGACAUCAGUGAUGUGCAGUCAAUUCCUUUAGGGUUGAGGAAGCUAGCACGUAGAGGAAGAAUGGAAGCUUUCUGUCUCUGCUUUCCCCUCUUUGUGUGUGUGUUUCUCUGUCUCACACUGUCUCUCUAUGUCUCUGUCUUUUUCUCACUGCACCUUCCUCCUCUCUCUUGGAAAUAACUAAAGUCAAAGGACUACAUGUAUGAUUUUAUUCACAGAAAAAAAGUUGAUCAGAUUAGUGGCUAGGCUAUAACAUAUGACUGAAGUGGAAACUUAAGGGUUCUUUGGAAAGUCAGUUGUGUGGGAUGGAAUUUUGUUGGGGUGAACAUGUGAAGGAGUGUCAUCCUGAAGCAGACACAGGUGAAAGGAUGUUUUGCUAAAGCAAGCACGUGAAAAGACAUAUGAUGAAGGAUUCAUUGCUAACAACAUGAUGUAUUGGUUCACCUUACAAUGCGUAGCUGAGCUGAUUGUUGUGACUCCAUAGUGAGAGAAACACACCAAGAAAAAAACCCUUCUGGUGGUGCUCUGGUGGCUUCUUGCUGCUUCCUUGGGCCUAUUGGCAGAGUGAUGUCAGAUGGUUCAGACUCAUGUGGAGUUUUACUAAGACAGACUCAUGUGCUGAGGCAAGACACAUGGAGGGCACAUGAUGUUUGGAGGGAGGGUAAGUAGGACUCAAUGGAAUGUGAGAGGGGCUUGCUUGAAUAUCUUUGCUUCCUUGAGGGAGGCAUGCAAAGAAUUUCUCUUGGUGUCUUUUGUGGUGGUCAUGCUUCUUUCUGCUGACUCAUACCUAUUCCGCUGAGGCAUGGCUGUCUCUGCUAGGUAGUGCCACUGCUGCUGAUUUGUGGUUGCUAUCCCAACACUACCGAACUGGACUGCUGGUAUAUUCGUGAAGUAUUUAUAUGUGGAUCAAGCUGCUGCUGCUGAAUCUUUUUAACUGAACUGCUGAUUUCCUAACAAAGCAGAUGGGAUUUGCUCCAAAAAAUGAUUUCUAAUCAAGUUCAUUUCCCCUAUAUCCUAAUAACCUUUCUUUUCCACUACCUCUGGGUGGGUGGUGAGCUAGAAGGGAGGUUAAAGCAUUUAAAAACAAUUAUUAAAAGUAGGGUUGGACCAACAAAUGAGCUAAUAAAGAGAGCAUGGACAUGCUGCCAAAAAAAAAGUAGGGUUGAGAAAAAAAUUUAAGCCUACAUACAACUCCCAAGUGUACAGGCAUAUGUUUUAGUUCGACAACCAUGCUUGUCAUAUAGCCUAUUCAUCACUCUGCAGAUACUGGGCAACCAAGGACCAAUGAAAGUCACAUUCAGGGCCAGCAUCCUAGUGUUCAACCUAAGCAGUUGCAGAAGAUCCCUGUGCUACCCCCAGGAUACUGCCUUUGAGAUUUUUAGAAAUAAUUUAACAAGGGCUCUCUCAAUUUUGCUUUUCUCCUAAGUCCCCUAAAUGAUGUCAUCUGUCCUAGUCAUGUCUUUAGACAAUUCUUGAUGCUCCUUCUCACCGUUAUUUGGUAUAGUUAAAUACACAUGGAAUAAGGACAUAUAUGUCACUGUGGUAUACUAGCUAGUGCAGAGUGUCACAGUGCAUGCCUAGAGAUUGCUAUAAUUGUCCCCGUUGGGCAGAUGUGUAAUUUUCACAAGGUCACAUGAUUAGUGAGAGGUCAGAGCAGCAUCAAAACAGCUGUCUACUCUUUAUAUGAUGCUGUGAUGAAUAAGAGUAAUCUGAAUGGUUAUAACUAUUCAGAAUAACCCAUUCAUAAGAACAUACAGCAUCAAAUGCCAUUGAAAGGUACUGGAAUAGUGCCGAUGUGGAAGACCACUAUACUCAGUAGCACUAUUUCUAGGAAAUGUCACCAAGCAUGUGUGACAUGGUAUCUGCAAAGCUUUAUUCACCGCUGUCUCAAUAAACAAUUGUUGAAUGUGUGAUAUUCCUAGCCCACUCUUCACUCUGAGUGCAUUGUGCUUCCUUCCUUUCAAGUUCAUACCUUUGUUCAUCUUCUUUGAUGCUUCCUUUGUUUGACCCAAGAGUAUCCUUUGACAAGCUUGAUGACUGAUUAUAUUGGGCAGAAAGACUCAAACUUUAGUAUUUGCCAUCUAUUCCUUUGGUAUGAUUUUUUUGUAUUAUCUGUUUUAAUGCUGUAAGAACAUUCCCAUCAGCAUUUGCUUCUCUCCUGAGAACGCCUAGAUUUUCUAUGUUCUUACUGUUAGCCAAGCUACCAUUAUUCUCUCUCAAGUGUUUCUGGGAGUUAAUGUAGUUUCCUCUUGACACUGUCCCACCAUGCCUCAUUCUGUUUCUACAAUCAGUAUGUCACGGGUGGAUACCACUGCCUAAAUCCUCUCUGUGACCUCUCCAGGGUAGGCAGUCUGAGUCACCAAGAAACUGACCCUGAGGCUUUCUUGUUGAGGUCGCCAGCUUUUGCUGUUGAGAAGACACAGAAAAGGUUACCCUAGUACAGAAUCAGUGGCGGUCUGUGCUCUCCCCGCGCAGACAGCUGAAGUAAGAAGGCGCCAGAAGUGUCUCCAUUUAACUCCAACAGCUAAGUGACCACUCCCAUCUCAGCUAGUUCUUUCAGAAGGGCUGCCUUUGGAAUAACACGACCUUGGGGGAAGGUCAUAGACAGCUACCACUCUUGAGGAACGACAGUGGGAAGUGCUUGCCGUUGUGCUCACAGCAGCUGGGGAUACAGCUCUCCCUACUCAGGAGGAGAAUACAAGAAGAUAGCACAAUCUCUCUUCCACUCACCCCACAGAGCUUUUCUCUCCCUUUAGUGGUUGCAUGCCUGGCACUUGUCUUUUCUUGUGUUUGAAAGGCUCUCUGCCUGUCUGUCCCUUUCUCUGUUUGAUCUGAGUACUUUCGGUUUUCCUUUAUGACUGGUGUCAAAAGUCAAGUCUUCCUGGGGCCUCCCCUUGCUCUCUAUGCAGAGUGAGCUGCUGGGUCAAGCACUCAGUCAGUGCCCACUGCUUCCACGUGGCACAUUGCAGUCUCUGAACCAGUCCCUUAAGAUGACCGAGGUGCAUCCCUUUUUGCCUGAUGUGCUGAGGAGACACGCCUCUCCUGAACUCACAGAGCUGUACUCUUUCCUUUAUUAUAUAUAGUAUUAGCCACAUAGUUACUUGCCUGCUUGAUCAUUCCUUUGUCCACUGAGUUGUAGUCAGCUGCCCUUAUGACUGG